AUUGAACGCUGGCGGCAUGCCUUACACAUGCAAGUCGAACGCGAAAGGGGGGCAACCUCCGAGUAGAGUGGCGAACGGGUGAGUAAUGCAUCGGAACGUAUCCCGUCGUGGGGGAUAACGAGUCGAAAGAUUCGCUAAUACCGCAUACGACCUGAGGGUGAAAGCGGGGGACCGGCAACGGCCUCGCGCGAGGGGAGCGGCCGAGGUCCGAUUAGCUAGUUGGCGGGGUAAGAGCCCACCAAGGCGACGAUCGGUAGCUGGUCUGAGAGGACGGCCAGCCACACUGGAACCGAGACACGGUCCAGACUCCUACGGGAGGCAGCAGUGGGGAAUUUUGGACAAUGGGGGCAACCCUGAUCCAGCCAUGCCGCGUGAGUGAAGGAGGCCUUCGGGUUGUAAAGCUCUUUUGGCGGGAACGAAAUCGCGUCCGUGAACAACGGGCGUGGAUGACGGUACUCGCAGAAUAAGCACCGGCUAACUACGUGCCAGCCGCCGCGGUAAUAC
rnacentral:rRNA from 1 species